rnacentral:lncRNA from 1 species
AUCUUUACCGUCCACCCUCUCUGUCCAAAACCCGAACCUAUCCUUUGAACCAAAACCCAUUUCUUAAAAUUCCCAUUUUACCUCUAAAAUUCACCAGAACCUCCUCAAAACCUUUCUCUCUCAAAGCAGUUUUAUCCCAAAACCAAGCAAAUACGUUUACCCAAAAGACUACUCCUUUUAAGCAUUGUUUCACAAAACCCUCUGAUGGGUUUCUCUACUGUGAGAAUCUCAAGGUCCAGGAUAUUAUGGAGAACGUUGAAAAAAGAC